rnacentral:rRNA from 1 species
UACGUAGGGUGCAAGCGUUGUCCGGAAUUAUUGGGCGUAAAGAGCUCGUAGGCGGCUUGUCGCGUCGACUGUGAAAUCCCGCGGCUCAACCGCGGGCUUGCAGUCGAUACGGGCAGGCUUGAGUUCGGUAGGGGAGACUGGAAUUCCUGGUGUAGCGGUGAAAUGCGCAGAUAUCGGGAGGAACACCGAUGGCGAAGGCAGCACUCUGGGCCGGUACUGACGCUGAGGAGCGAAAGCGUGGGGAGCGAACAGG